rnacentral:rRNA from 1 species
CUGGCCUUGACAUCCAGAGAACUUUCCAGAGAUGGAUUGGUGCCUUCGGGAACUCUGAGACAGGUGCUGCAUGGCCGUCGUCAGCUCGUGUCGUGAGAUGUUGGGUUAAGUCCCGUAACGAGCGCAACCCCUAUCCCUAGUUGCUAGCAGUUCGGCUGAGAACUCUAGGGAGACUGCCGGUGACAAACCGGAGGAAGGUGGGGAUGACGUCAGGUCAUCAAGGCCCUUACGGCCAGGGCUACACACGUGCUACAAUGGCGCGCACAGAGGGCUGCAAACCCGCGAGGGGGAGCUAAUCUCACAAAACGCGUCGUAGUCCGGAUCGCAGUCUGCAACUCGACUGCGUGAAGUCGGAAUCGCUAGUAAUCGCGAAUCAGAAUGUCGCGGUGAAUACGUUCCC